rnacentral:rRNA from 1 species
UACGUAGGGUCCGAGCGUUGUCCGGAAUUACUGGGCGUAAAGAGCUCGUAGGUGGUUUGUCGCGUUGUUCGUGAAAACUCACAGCUUAACUGUGGGCGUGCGGGCGAUACGGGCAGACUGGAGUACUGCAGGGGAGACUGGAAUUCCUGGUGUAGCGGUGGAAUGCGCAGAUAUCAGGAGGAACACCGGUGGCGAAGGCGGGUCUCUGGGCCGAUACUGACGCUGAGGAGCGAAAGCGUGGGGGAGCGAACAGG